rnacentral:rRNA from 1 species
AUGAUUCUACAUCAUCUGAUGGCCCGGCAUUUAUUUGUAGUUAGUUUGUUGAUUCUUUCGCUUGUCUUUAACUCAUGCACAGCUCACUCAUGGAGGAACAAUAGUUCUCUGGAUGAUAUGGGUCCACGUUGUGAACCUUCUUCCCAUCCGUUUGGUCUGUGCAAGACAAGAGCAGCAGCUUUUGGCUAUCCAUGUGAAGAUCACAUGGUCACAACAGAAGAUGGUUAUAUUCUUAGCCUAAAGAGGAUUCCUCAUGGUGUUUCUAAGACUGAGAAUACAACGAGGAUACCGGUACUACUAUUCCACGGGCUCAUGGUGGAUAGCGUUUCUUGGGUACUGGGUACACCAAAACAAUCACUUGGAUUUAUUUUGGCAGAUGGUGGGUUUGAUGUUUGGUUUGCCAACACCCGUGGAACUAAUUCCAGCCGGAACCAUACCUCGCUCACCCCAGAUGAUCCGGAGUACUGGAAUUGGACGUGGGACCAACUUGCUGCCUAUGAUCUUCCUGCCGUGCUUCAGCAUGUCUAUGAUCACACAGGAGGCCAGAAAGUCCACUAUAUCGGUCACUCCCUGGGAACCUUGAUUAUUCUUGCAGCCUUCUCAGAGCACAGGUUACUUCAUUUAGUUCGAUCGGCUGUGUUGCUCUGCCCAAUUGCUUAUCUGUAUAAGACAAAAUCGAAACUCACCCGGCUUGCUACUCAAAUCCUCCUUGCAGAAGCAUUUCAUUUUCUAGGAUAUCGUGAGUUCAAUCCUGUUGGGCCAGUUUCACAUGAAAUUCUGCUCAUAAUAUGCGGUGACCCUGAAAUCGACUGCUACGACCUAUUUACGGCUGUUAUGGGACCGGACUGCUGCCUCAAUGCUUCAACUGUAUGUAACUUCCUGCAGCAUGCUACACAGUCCACCUCUAUCAAGAACCUUAUUCACAUGUCGCAGAUGAUCAGGUACGAAGGGGUCAGAAGGUAUGACUAUGGCAACGCCAAGGAAAACAUGAAGCAUUACAACCAGCCACGCCCCCCGCUGUACAACCUCUCAUCCAUCCCGACCCAUGUCCCCAUGUUCCUCACCCAUGGUGGUCAAGACUUCCUCGGCGAUGUCCCUGACACCAGGCACCUCCUGAACACGCUGGUCAGAACCCAUGACAGCGACAACAUGGAGGUACUGUAUGUACCCGACUACGCCCACGCUGACUUCGUGAUAGGCUAUAAUGCUCCGCAACUCGUAUACGGGCCGAUGGUCGACUUCCUUCAGCGCCACUGA